GAUAAAGGGGUUCCUAGAAAAUAGCCAGCCCCUCCUCUUCCCGAGAAUCCUGGGUAUGUGGAAGAAGGAUCUUUGCUUGAGAAACAGGAAGGUGUUGCACAGUUGCGGGACAGGAGGGAGCAAAAAGGGCUGGUGGCGCCCAGGCCCUCUGGACGGGCUUUGCCUCUAUUGCCCUUGGUGCAGAUGGCCUUGAGGGGCCUCUUGUUCCUCCUGUCCCUGUUUGGUUUCCAUGGGAACUGGAGUGUCAGCGUCAUCACUUUGCCAAGGUGAAAUAAACCAGGAUGUCUUGAAUACUCAUGGACAAACCAUCACCCACAGAAGAAAACAUCUAAAACCUACGGUGCGCUUCCUCGGGGCCCUUCCACUUGCUCUCACGUUUUAGAAGUUCCAUUAGAUGUCCUCAGUUCCACAUGUUCUCUGACUCUUCCCUAUUUUCCAGCUGUUUUGUGUUUGGCAAGUGGUGAUGAUUGCUUAUUGAAUGAAUUCAGAGAGCUGUACUCUGAUAAAGUGCCUAGCACAAUGUCUGGAAAACAACAAGGACUCAGUGCAUCUUGGAAAGAAGAAAUUCUUCCCCCUGUCAACUUGGAGUGACUUAGAAUCAUCCUGAAAAUAAAUCUCAGAGCAUGUCAGGGAAGGGGUUUUCUAGAUUAGGUUACUAGAGAUAGAAGGAUCCACUGACUGUGGGUAGCACUAUCCCAU